CUCCUCAUAUGGGCUUUAGGUCUGUGUUGAGAUCCAUUUUGGAGGUUGGUUUUUAACCCAAACUCAGUUCAUUUAUUAAAAUAGUUACAAAUACAAAAUAAGGAGAACACUUGAACACACAGAAGGGAGAAAUGUGCCUAAUGUAGGUUCUGCGGUGACGGCCUGAGUCCAGUCCACCGGUGGUCUGUUUCCCGCUGGGAACAUGAAGCGGGGCAGAACCAGCCGUGAUACCCAUUCUGCAUGGUCACAGUAGGGUCCCUGUGAUUCGCUCUGUCUCGGGUCCUCCCACCCCCCGUAGCGUUUGUGCUUGUAUUUGUGCAUACGUGGCCGCCCAGGAGAUGGGGUGGAGGCUGCAGCCGCCGUUCUCAGACCCCUUGGAAGAACCCCGGCCUUUUCUCGGGUCAGCAUGGGCACUUUGGUUGGAACGCCCUGGCUGGAGCG
rnacentral:lncRNA from 1 species